rnacentral:tRNA from 1 species
GUGGAAAUGGUGUAGCGGCAGCAUUCAGGUCUGUGGAACCUGCGGUCCGGGUUCAACUCCCGGUUUCCACC